AGCAAUCGACAUAUGUAAGAAGUACAUUGGUUUGGUCUGGAAAGGCGGGACAACUAGAAGCAAAGGCUGGAAGACUCUUCCAGGUCACAGAUAGGUGAUACACAAAUGGUUACAUUCUUUUGAGUUUCUGAUUAGCCUUUCCAAAGUAGGCAAAUCAGAUAUGCAUCUAUCUCAGUGAGCAGAGGAGUGACUUUGAAUAGAAUGGGAGGCAGGUUUGCCCUAAGCAGUUUCCAGCUUGAGUUUUCCUCAGUGAUUCUGGGGGCCCAAGAUAUUUUCCUUUCACAAGCCAGCAGGGAAUGAGCUGUUCUGAGUUGAACAGAACGGGAAACUGCACUUUUGACUCUGAAUGUAUUUCAAUGGAGCAGCCUCUGCUGAAAGCCGGGCUCAGACACUGAACAGCCGCUUCAGGGAGAUGCAAUGGUUGCAACUUGUGAACCGUGCUUUCCUUUCCACCGCCUUUUCUCUACAUUUGUCUGAUUCACCAGCAGCUCAACACGUUGCCUCCAGCCCAAUUCCCUCUGAAGAAAGUAUGCAGAUGAUUCAUCUUCUCUGAAAAAACUACCCAUCCCAGGGUAGUGCCCAGCCUCCUUUCUCUUGGGCAUAUACAGCCUAAAUUCCCCGGCAUCCCAGGGUAGUGCCAGCCUCCUUUCUCUUGGACAUAUACAGCCUAAACUCGGCAAGCAACAACAGGAGAGGAGGGUAUUCUAGAGGAACUCCCAGAAACCACCUCAUCACCAAGGACUGCAGGGGAGGUGACAGCCCCCCUAAGAAAAUCAGAAGAGACACGAGCACAUUGCAGAUCUAAAGGAGAGCUAAGUGUUUUCGGUUACACACCAGCAGGGCUUCCCUCUCUGCAGAGCCCUGGAGUCUCUUCCAAGUAGAAAAUCACACUCUGUCCUUCAGCCUGAGAGUGAAGAGAGAAGGCAAGUAAAACAAGGACCUCCUGAACUUGGCCAACACCCCACUCCUGCUGCCUCCCACCCCACCCAGCUCCGUUCCUUGGCCAGUGAGAUAAUGGAAGGUUCAGCCCUUGCAGCUGACGUGGGGUGGGGAGCAGACGCCCACUCUGGGCACUUCCAGCCGACACUGACCUUUCAGUCAUGGAAACAUUCCCCAGACUGACACUAAUCGGGGGCACAUCUGGCGUUUGGACUGCAUCCAGAUGGGGGUUUGUGUUAGUCGAGUCAGCAUGAUAACCCGCUGGGGAGGGAGGGAGGGAGGGGAGAGGACACAGCAGCUGAGAGCAAUCCCCAUCCUUGGCUGCGUGAGGGAGAGGUGGUCAUGCUGCGGCCAGUGAGUCAUAGACUAGAGACCACCUAAUUCCUGUCCACCCCUGCUCUCCCUGCUCCCUCCAACAGAGGACAAACUGGAUCCACCCAGAGAGCCAACUCGCCAGAGUUCCACAACUGGUCAGCAGCAGACUACAAUCUCAGUGUCCCGGCUCCCAUUCUAUCGCACUGCCCACUUUCUACACUCUCUCAAAGUGUAGUGUGUUAUUUCAGGAUAAAAUAUGUGCCAAGGUGAUGAAAAGAAUCCAGCUGUUUCUUCUCUUUCACUUCCUGUGAUUUGUAAAAGCAUAAGACGAUUUUCCAAGACAGUGACAAACCACCAUCGCUCACACCCAUUCCACCCACCCCAAUUCUUUCAUCGUAGCUUCUUUUCUGGAUUUGGAAGAAGAGACCGCCCUUUGUGACUGGUUCAUGGACUUUGUCAGAAAUCAACACAAUGUCUUAUUCUCCCAUCCCUAGAACAAGCGACUGCAAUUGGGAAUAAGACUUCAUAGUAUAGAAGUUCCAGCCAUACAGGUCAGGAAUGACAAAGUGUCUUGGCCAGCUCUCAGCCUCUGCCUUUACAAAGUCUGACACCUGUUGCAGUCACGAAUUGCACUGCUAAAGAGGUAAUCAAGCAAACCAAAGCCAGGA
rnacentral:lncRNA from 1 species